rnacentral:misc_RNA from 1 species
ACCUCGCGUUAGCGAUCAAGUUAGUCUGAAUACCAAAACGUUCACGCUCGUUUUCUUUUCUGUGGAGAUCUGCAGUAUCGAGUGCACACAGAUCUGUGCCGCAAUGUGACUUUAUGAGUGAACUGAUUGUUAAGUGGAUUAGAAAAUUAGACCGCAUCCAUAUGAAUGUUUCAACUUCGUUGGAGUUUCAUUCAACAUAUAGCUAUUCCUGUUUCUAUAAUUUCAUUUCAUUGAUUAUAUAAAAUUUAUAUAUAAAAUAUAGACAAGACUUUACUAAAAAAUUAUAUUUUGUGUGUUCGGCUUGUAUAAGAAACUUCGUGUAAUUGUAUUCGAUGAGUUCGAGAGCAGUGAAGUUGGAAAGAACAAAAGAUGCCUGGCACUCUAACGUAUCCGAUUUAUGCUGGCGUUGAUUCAUUCCCGUCCAGAAGACGUGCGAAUACAUGGACCGCACAGCAUCAUUCCGCAUCACGUGUAGCAGAAGUCAAUGCGCAACUUAGUCGAUUGUCUUUAACUGAAUCAACGAGAGACGAAACGAGCAAGUUGAGGUUAAAAGUAAUCGCUGGACACCAUUUAGCGAAGAAAGACAUUUUUGGUGCUAGCGAUCCCUAUGUACGUGUGGACUUGAAUACAAUAAAUGGCGAUCAGACAGUGGAUUCUGCACUUACAAGAACUAAGAAGAAGACAUUAAAUCCUGUCUGGGAGGAGGAAUUUAUAUUUAGGGUUAAACCAGUAGAACACAAAUUGGUCUUACAAGUUUUUGAUGAAAAUAGAUUGACAAGGGAUGAUUUUCUUGGUAUGGUUGAGUUAACAUUGAUUAAUUUACCAAAGGAACAAGAAGGUCGUGCUAUUCCUGCCAGGAAUUAUGUACUUCGUCCACGUAGUAAUCAUUCCAGUCAGCGAUCACGAGUUAAGGGAACUUUGGAACUGUAUCAUGCAUACAUUUCCGACUCAUCUAGUAAUGAAAAUGACAAUGGAGACGUAUCUGAUUCAGGCGGAUGGGAAUUAGUACAGCCAGAAAAUAACAGUCCAGUAGAGCAAAGUGCUGAUAUUACAAUGGUGAGUAGGCCAUUACCACCAGGAUGGGAAGAACGACAGGACGCAAAUGGUCGUACAUACUAUGUUAAUCAUAUAGCGCGUUUCACACAAUGGGAACGACCAGAACCAGACACAAUAGCGACAAGUGGAGUUGUUGAACAACGUAAUUUGGAUACAGCAGCUACUGAAUUUCAACGACGAUUUCACAUUAGUGCUGAUGAUGAAGGUAGACAUAGGAAUUCUGUAGUAAAUCAGGAUGGUGAAGUUCUACGCGAGGACGAUGAAGAUUCGGAAGCAAGAGAUUGUGAGGGUGGGGAUCAUAGGGGAGGGGGUAUUGGGGAUACUUCUUCAGACUCUGGACGUUCUGUCGAUCAACGUGGCUACCUUAGCGAAUCUGAAGAACAGACUGAUGAUAAUAUCGACAGUCCAGCUGGUUCGAGACGUUCAUCAGAGCAUAUUGAGAGUCCCAAACCUACCCUUCCUGUGUCGAAUGAUGAAGGAUUGCCUCCUGGUUGGGGCAUGCAAGUAGCACCUAAUGGUAGAAUAUUUUUUAUUGAUCAUAAUGAGAGGGCAACAACCUGGAUUGAUCCCCGAACUGGAAGACCAAGUUCUAUACCUAAUCAUAUUGCACCAUCAACGACAUCAAGAGGUGAUUUAGAUCAAUUAGGACCGCUCCCAGAAGGAUGGGAAGAAAGAGUACACACCGAUGGACGAAUCUUUUUUAUAGAUCAUAAUACAAGAACAACACAAUGGGAAGAUCCACGUAUGUCGAACCCUCAAAUUGCUGGCCCGGCUGUACCAUAUUCAAGAGAUUACAAGCGAAAAUAUGAAUAUUUGAAGUCACAACUGAGAAAGCCUAAUAAUGUUCCUAAUAAGUUUGAAAUAAAGGUUGGACGGAACAAUAUUUUGGAAGAUUCGUACCGUAUUAUAAGCUCUGUUAACAGAGUCGAUAUUCUAAAAACGAAAUUAUGGGUAGAAUUCGAAGGAGAGGUAGGCUUAGAUUAUGGUGGCCUUGCAAGGGAAUGGUUCUUCUUAUUGUCUAAAGAAAUGUUUAAUCCGUAUUAUGGACUUUUUGAGUAUUCUGCAACUGAUAAUUAUACACUGCAAAUAAAUCCUUGUUCUGGUGUAUGUAAUGAGGAACAUUUGAAUUACUUUAAAUUUAUUGGACGUAUAGCAGGAAUGGCUGUUUAUCACGGCAAACUUUUAGAUGCUUUCUUUAUUCGACCAUUUUACAAAAUGAUGUUGGGUAAACCAAUUGAUCUGAAGGAUAUGGAGAGCGUCGAUUCUGAAUAUUACAACUCUCUUUUAUGGAUUAAAGAAAAUGAUCCCAGUGAAUUAGAACUCACUUUCAGCCUUGACGAAGAAAACUUUGGUCAUACUUCUCAAAGAGACUUAAAGCCAGAUGGUGCUAAUAUUCCUUUGACCGAUGAAAAUAAGGACGAGUAUAUAAGUUUAGUUAUACAAUGGCGAUUUGUAUCUCGCGUACAGGAACAAAUGAAUGCCUUUUUGGAAGGUUUCAAUGCUCUUAUACCACCGACAUUGGUAAAAAUAUUCGAUGAACAUGAACUGGAAUUGUUAAUGUGUGGUAUACAGCAUAUUGAUGUAAAAGACUGGAAACAAAAUACUUUAUAUAAAGGAGACUAUCACGCAAAUCACAUCGUUGUGCAAUGGUUCUGGAGAGUUGUUUUGUCAUUCAGUAAUGAAAUGCGUUCUAGAUUAUUACAGUUUGUAACUGGCACAUCACGUGUUCCAAUGAAUGGAUUCAAAGAACUUUAUGGCAGUAAUGGACCGCAAUUAUUUACAAUUGAGAGGUGGGGCACACCAGAGAAUUAUCCAAGAGCUCAUACUUGUUUUAAUCGUAUCGACCUUCCUCCAUAUAAAAGUUAUCAACAACUCAGGGAUAAGCUAGUUAAAGCAAUUGAAGGUUCUCAAGGCUUUGCCGGAGUCGACUAGCACGAAAUACCUUUGUUCAUGAUGAUAUCUGUAAUAUAAUGUAUAUAUUACAUAUACCUACAUAAUAGAGUCGGACCUUAAUUAAUUCACUUUUAAAAACAUGCCAUAUUUUUACUAUUGCAACUAUGGGAUUUCCUGAGAGAAGUGAUUUGGCUGCUAUAACAAUGUGAUAUUGAUUUAUUAAUUGAUUCUCUUCUUUGUUAAUAAUGUUAGAAUAUUGUUACAAAAUGCAAUUUAUAUAAAUGUCUAUAUAUGAUUAACAAAUUGUUUUAAAAUGACAUUGUAAUCAUGUAAAAAUGAGAUUCACUGUCAUUCUAUGACUUAAAAAUUCUUUGCACGUAGAUAUCCCUUCUUUUUCCACUUUAAAAUAAAAAUUAAUAUAAUUGAUAUAAUAUUCUUUGUUAAUAAAUUUAAUUUUUGAAAUUUGCACUUAUAUAAAAUUACAUUUUGUCAAAAAGAUUACUUAAUAUUCUUUUUUUCAUUAAAAGAUCUUUCCUAAUUUUAUAUAACGCAUAUUAGAGAUAAUCAAAAACGUAAUUGUUGUUUUAUGAAAAAGUACUUUGCUUUUUUUAAUAAAUCAAACUUUUCUAAUGUUAUAAAUAUAAUGAAUUAUGUACGUUAUAAUUUUAAUUAUAUUUUUAUGGCACACCAAAAUAUACUUCUCUUUUUCAACUUUAA